GCUGUUGUAGCUCAGGGGUAGAGCACUUCCUUGGUAAGGAAGAGGUCGUGAGUUCAAUCCUCAUCAACAGCUCUA
rnacentral:tRNA from 1 species